UAAAUCAGUUAUGGUUCAUUUGAUCGUACAGUUUACUUGGAUAACUGUGGUAAUUCUAACCUAAUACAUGCGAGAAGCGCCGACCUCGCGGGAGGCGUGCAUUUAUCAGACCAAAAACCGGCCGCGUCUUCGGGCGCGUUCGCCUUGGUGACUCUGGAUAACUUUGCGGAUCGCACGGUCUAGCACCGGCGACGGAUCAUUCAAGUGUCUGCCCUAUCAACUUUCGUCGGUACGGUAUUUGCCUACCGAGGUUCUUACGGGUGACGGGGAAUCAGGGUUCGAUUCCGGAGAGGGAGCCUGAGAAACGGCUACCACAUCCAAGGAAGGCAGCAGGCGCGCAAAUUACCCAUUCCCGACGCGGGGAGGUAGUGACGAAAAAUAACAAUGCAGGACUCGUUCGAGGCCCUGUAAUUGGAAUGAGUACACUUUAAAAGCUUUAACGAGUAUCCAUUGGAGGGCAAGUCUGGUGCCAGCAGCCGCGGUAAUUCCAGCUCCAAAAGUAUAUAUUUAAGUUGUUGCGGUUAAAAAGCUCGUAGUUGGAUUUUGGGCGCAGGCGGCCGGUCCGUCGCAAGGCGUGUACUGGACGUCCUGGCCUUCCCUCCGGUUCUCCGCCGGUGCUCUUGACUGAGUGUCGGCGGCGGCCGGAACGUUUACUUUGAAAAAAUUAGAGUGUUCAAAGCAGGCUCUCGAGCCUGGAUAAUGGUGCAUGGAAUAAUGGAAUAG
rnacentral:ncRNA from 1 species